CCCGGAUCUACAUCCAGUUCCCCACCUCCCUAAUGAGAGCCUGAAUGGAAAUGGCCGCCCAGCACUGACGUGAGAACCGGUCAGUGAGGCAGGGAGGCAGGGUGAAGGAAUGCUCAGCCGCCUCCUGCUCCACUGUGUCCAGGCUUUCUGCCUGAAGUCAUCUGUGAGAGCGACAGAGAGAAGAGUGUGCUCAACCUGUCAGGAGCAUUCUGGCAGCCAGAAGGCCCUGGGGUCUCGGGGUCAGGCCAGCACGCAGUCAGCCCUCCAGGAGCAGACUGGGGACUCUCCCAGCCUUCUUUGUUUAACCUUGAAACUCAUCAAGUGGCCCAGGCUGACUGCACCCGCCUCUGCUUCCCUGGCGCUGCUGUUUCAGUUAAAAACAAAACAAAAGCAAACAACAAACAAGCAUGCACCAGGCUCCAGACACCAAUCUCGGGCCCCGGGCUCACGGGUUGAAGUCCUCCGGGUUGAAGUCCAGCCUGCCCGUGAUGCUUAGCGAAGGGGCGUGAGACCCCGCGAGGGCUGGCCGCACAGGUGCGCGUGCUAAGGAAGAGCGCCGCCCGGAGACGUCCUUCCGGAGGCCCCGCGCGGUGUGCGGUGAGGAGCCGGCGGCGGGUGGGGGCGGCCGCGGGGCGGUUGGUCGCCGGGCGGGUGGACGCGGGGCGGGUGGAAGGCUGGACCGCCGGGCGGCCGGCGUGUGCGCGGUGCUGCCGCCCGUUUGGCACGGCCGUUGGGGAGAGCCCGGCGCUCUUUGGGGCGACAUCGCCGCGCACAGCGGCCUCUGGUCCUAAGCCGUCAGGGUCCCCUUAAUCUGCUCUGUCCCGGCAGCAGCCCCGGCUCCCCCGACCUCCCCGGCCGCGGCCCGGCUCCCGACCACCCGGCCGCGCCUCCUGCCCCCGCUGCCGACCCCGCCCGGCAUGCGCCCGCCUCCUCCCGAGCGUCCUGGGGUCGCCGGCCUGGAAUCGUCAGCCUAGCUGGGCGCAGUCGUCAGGGAAACGCCACUUCUCCGACAUGCCGCAGAAAGACCCGUGCCAGAAGCAAGCCUGUGACAUUCAGAAGUGUUUGCAGGCCAACAACUACGUGGAGGCCAAGUGCCAGGCCGUGAUCCAGGAGCUUCGCAAGUGCUGUGCCCGCUACCCCAGGGGCACGUCUAUCGUCUGCUCGGGCUUUGAGAAAGAGGAGGAGGAGAACCUGGCACUCAAGACCGGAUCCAAGUGAAGCUGUGCUUCAUGCUCCCUCCGGCGAGCUGUUUGCCAGGUAGCAGCAAGCAGCAAAGGAAAAGCUAGCGAAUAUGCGGUCUAUGCAAAACAGACCGAAAUAGUAACCUGUGUUAGAAAAUAAAUAUGUGUAAUGGAAAAGGGAGGUGCCGAAA
rnacentral:lncRNA from 1 species